rnacentral:rRNA from 1 species
UACGAAGGGGGCUAGCGUUGCUCGGAAUCACUGGGCGUAAAGCGCACGUAGGCGGAUUGCUAAGUCAGGGGUGAAAUCCUGGAGCUCAACUCCAGAACUGCCUUUGAUACUGGCAAUCUCGAGUCCGGGAGAGGUGAGUGGAACUGCGAGUGUAGAGGUGAAAUUCGUAGAUAUUCGCAAGAACACCAGUGGCGAAGGCGGCUCACUGGCCCGGUACUGACGCUGAGGUGCGAAAGCGUGGGGAGCCAAACAGGG